GAUGAACGCUGGCGGCGUGCCUAAUACAUGCAAGUCGAGCGAACGGACGAGAAGCUUGCUUCUCUGAUGUUAGCGGCGGACGGGUGAGUAACACGUGGAUAACCUACCUAUAAGACUGGGAUAACUUCGGGAAACCGGAGCUAAUACCGGCUAAUAUUUUGAACCGCAUGGUUCAAAAGUGAAAGACGGUCUUGCUGUCACUUAUAGAUGGAUCCGCGCUGCAUUAGCUAGUUGGUAAGGUAACGGCUUACCAAGGCAACGAUGCAUAGCCGACCUGAGAGGGUGAUCGGCCACACUGGAACUGAGACACGGUCCAGACCCCUACGGGAGGCAGCAGUAGGGAAUCUUCCGCAAUGGGCGAAAGCCUGACGGAGCAACGCCGCGUGAGUGAUGAAGGUCUUCGGAUCGUAAAACUCUGUUAUUAGGGAAGAACAUAUGUGUAAGUAACUGUGCACAUCUUGACGGUACCUAAUCAGAAAGCCACGGCUAACUACGUG
rnacentral:rRNA from 1 species